AGAGUUUGAUCCUGGCUCAGAACGAACGUUAGCGGCGCGCCUAACACAUGCAAGUCGCACGAGAAAGGGCUUCGGCCCCGGUAAAGUGGCGCACGGGUGAGUAACACGUGGGUAAUCUGCCCUCGAGCAGGGNGAUAACAUUCCGAAAGGAGUGCUAAUACCGCAUAAGACCACGAUCUCGAAAGAGAUUGAGGUAAAAGCUGGCCUCUAUACAUAAGCUAGCACUUGAGGAUGAGCCCGCGGCGCAUCAGGUAGUUGGUGAGGUAAUGGCUCACCAAGCCUAAGACGCGUAGCUGGUCUGAGAGGAUGAUCAGCCACACUGGAACUGAGACACGGUCCAGACUCCUACGGGAGGCAGCAGUGGGGAAUAUUGGACAAUGGGGGCAACCCUGAUCCAGCCACGCCGCGUGAGUGAUGAAGGCCUUCGGGUCGUAAAGCUCUGUGGGGAGAGACGAACGUCCCUGUGAAGAACAGGGGGUGACGGUAUCUCCUUAGCAAGCACCGGCUAACUUCGUGCCAGCAGCCGCGGUAAUACGAAGGGUGCAAACGUUGCUCGGAAUCAUUGGGCGUAAAGCGCACGUAGGCGGCUCUAUAAGUCGGAUGUGAAAUCCCUCGGCUCAACCGAGGACGUGCAUUCGAAACUGUGGAGCUUGAGUAUGGAAGAGGGUCGCAGAAUUCCCGGUGUAGAGGUGAAAUUCGUAGAU
rnacentral:rRNA from 1 species